rnacentral:rRNA from 1 species
GUAACCCUAUUCACCUGCCCUGGAGACAUGGAAAACCCCGGGAAACUGGCAUUAAUCCGUGAUAGGUCACCUCAUCUGGAAGGAGAGAUGGCUUAAAGGGGCGCGAGAGCUUCUUUCUUGCAUUCGCUCCAGGAUGGGACUGCGGCCGAUCAGGCUGUUGGCGGUGUAAUGGACCACCAAACCUGUAACCGGUACGGGCCUUGAGAGAGGGGGCCCGGAGAUGGACACUGAGAGAAGGGUCCAGGUCCUACGGGGCGCAGCAGGCGCGAAACCUUCGCAAUGCGCGAAAGCGUGACGAGGUUAAUCCGAGUGGUCCCCGCUGAGGGGAUCUUUUGUUGGCUGUAAAAAGGCCGAUGAAUAAGGGGAGGGCAAGUCUGGUGUCAGCCGCCGCGGUAAUACCAGCUCCUCGAGUAGUCGGGGCGAUUAUUGGGCCUAAAGCAUCCGUAGCCGGUUCUGUAGGUCCUCUGUCAAAUCCAACGGCUUAACCGUUGGCCCGCAGAGGAUACCGCAGGACU